AUUGCCUCAGUAACGGCGAGUGAAGCGGCAAGAGCUCAAAUUUGAAAGCUGGCUCCUUCGGGGUCCGCAUUGUAAUUUGCAGAGGAUGCUUCGGGUGCGGCCCCUGUCUAAGUGCCCUGGAACGGGCCGUCAGAGAGGGUGAGAAUCCCGUCUGGGAUGGGGUGUCCGCGCCCGUGUGAAGCUCCUUCGACGAGUCGAGUUGUUUGGGAAUGCAGCUCUAAAUGGGUGGUAAAUUUCAUCUAAAGCUAAAUACUGGCCGGAGACCGAUAGCGCACAAGUAGAGUGAUCGAAAGAUGAAAAGCACUUUGAAAAGAGAGUUAAAAAGCACGUGAAAUUGUUGAAAGGGAAGCGCUUGCGACCAGACUCGCCUCCAGGGUUCAGCCGGCAUUCGUGCCGGUGUACUUCCCUGGGGGCGGGCCAGCGUCGGUUUGGGCGGCCGGUCAAAGGCUCCCGGAAUGUAGUGCCCUCCGGGGCACCUUAUAGCCGGGAGUGCAAUGCGGCCAGCCUGGACC
rnacentral:rRNA from 1 species